AUUGAACGCUGGCGGCAGGCCUAACACAUGCAAGUCGAGCGGAUGAAGGGAGCUUGCUCCUGGAUUCAGCGGCGGACGGGUGAGUAAUGCCUAGGAAUCUGCCUGGUAGUGGGGGAUAACGUCCGGAAACGGGCGCUAAUACCGCAUACGUCCUGAGGGAGAAAGUGGGGGAUCUUCGGACCUCACGCUAUCAGAUGAGCCUAGGUCGGAUUAGCUAGUUGGUGGGGUAAAGGCCUACCAAGGCGACGAUCCGUAACUGGUCUGAGGGGAUGAUCAGUCACACUGGAACUGAGACACGGUCCAGACUCCUACGGGAGGCAGCAGUGGGGAAUAUUGGACAAUGGGCGAAAGCCUGAUCCAGCCAUGCCGCGUGUGUGAAGAAGGUCUUCGGAUUGUAAAGCCCUUUAAGUGGGGAGGAAGGGCAGUAAGUUAAUACCUUGCUGUUUUGACGUUACCAACAGAAUAAGCACCGGCUAACUUCGUG
rnacentral:rRNA from 1 species